rnacentral:rRNA from 1 species
UAUGUUAAGUGGAAAAGGAUGUGGGGUUGCACAGACAACUAGGAUGUUAGCUUAGAAGCAGCUAUUCAUUCAAAGAGUGCGUAAUAGCUCACUAGUCGAGUGACCCUGCGCCGAAAAUGUACCGGGGCUAAAACAUAUUACCGAAGCUGUGGAUGACACAAAAGUGUCAUGGUAGGAGAGCGUUCUAUGUGUGAAGAAGGUGUACCGUGAGGAGCGCUGGAACGCAUAGAAGUGAGAAUGCCGGUAUGAGUAGCGCAAGACAGGUGAGAAUCCUGUCCACCGUAAGACUAAGGUUUCCAGGGGAAGGCUCGUCCGCCCUGGGUUAGUCGGGACCUAAGGAGAGACCGAAAGGUGUAUCCGAUGGACAACAGGUUGAUAUUCCUGUACUAGAGUAUAUAGUGAUGGAGGGACGCAGUAGGCUAACUAAACCAGACGAUUGGAAGUGUCUGGUCAAACAGUGAGGUGUGAUAUGAGUCAAAUGCUUAUAUCUUUAACAUUGAGCUGUGACGAGGAGCGAAGUUUAGUAGCGAAGUUAGUGAUGUCACACUGCCAAGAAAAGCUUCUAGCGAUACAUAUACUCUACCCGUACCGCAAACCGACACAGGUAGUCGAGGCGAGUAGCCUCAGGUGAGCGAGAGAACUCUCGUUAAGGAACUCGGCAAAAUGGCCCCGUAACUUCGGGAGAAGGGGCGCUGAUUUUAGAUCAGCCGCAGUGAAUAGGCCCAAGCAACUGUUUAUCAAAAACACAGCUCUCUGCUAAAUCGUAAGAUGAUGUAUAGGGGGUGACGCCUGCCCGGUGCUGGAAGGUUAAGAGGAGUGCUUAGCGUAAGCGAAGGUAUGAAUUGAAGCCCCAGUAAACGGCGGCCGUAACUAUAACGGUCCUAAGGUAGCGAAAUUCCUUGUCGGGUAAGUUCCGACCCGCACGAAAGGCGUAAUGAUUUGGGCACUGUCUCAACGAGAGACUCGGUGAAAUUUUAGUACCUGUGAAGAUGCAGGUUACCCGCGACAGGACGGAAAGACCCCAUGGAGCUUUACUGCAGUUUGAUAUUGAGUAUCUGUACCACAUGUACAGGAUAGGUAGGAGCCUAUGAUAACGGGACGCCAGUUUCGUUUGAGGCGUUGUUGGGAUACUACCCUUGUGUUAUGGCUACUCUAACCCAGAUAGGCAAUCCCUAUCGGAGACAGUGUCUGACGGGCAGUUUGACUGGGGCGGUCGCCUCCUAAAAGGUAACGGAGGCGCCCAAAGGUUCCCUCAGACUGGUUGGAAAUCAGUCGUAGAGUGUAAAGGUAUAAGGGAGCUUGACUGCGAGAGCUACAACUCGAGCAGGGACGAAAGUCGGGCUUAGUGAUCCGGUGGUUCCGU